AUACCAGUCAUAAUUCUUGUA
rnacentral:misc_RNA from 1 species